UCAGGUAGCUGAGGUAGCAGACUGCCGAGGGACUGGCUAAGCGUCUGCGUUCGAGAAAUGCCUUUUUUCCUAUUACAAAUGAAAAUAAUGUCAUCAGUAUGAUAUUAAAGCAUUAAGCGGUCAACUGGAUUAAUAUUUAGCUGCAAAGUCGCGAACUUCUGUCUCAUACAUUAUCAAUCGAACAUGCGGCAUCUCCUACACCAAGAAAAUUAGAGUAAAUCAUAAAAACGUGCAACUAAGAUACGUUGGAAAUGUGUGAACCACGAUUUCAAUCGAAUUACGUGUAUAACUAGUGAUGCACUGACUUCUUUUAGAUGUGUAGAGCAGAGUGGUAGAAUUCUUGUUCCUAACGCGAUGAUGUAGACUGCAAUGGGGAAAAUAGGGCUAUACAGGUAACAGAAACAAUUUGAUUGUAGCUCAUAUAUAGCAACAACAAAGUAUAUAUACAGUCUAUGCUGUUAAACAAAAGUAGGGCCUACUAAUGUAUAUAUUGAUGUUACACAUAUACCUCAUGUUAGAAACGAAUAGGCUUGCUGUUCCACAGCUGAGUGGACGACAGUUGUAACAAAAUGAAAUACACCCAAUUUCACAUAAAAUUGUAUUUGGGUGGGUGGUGGUAGGGGGAAAGGAUGUACUAAUUCCCUAGUCUGCAGGCACUGUCACUCUGUAGAGGCAUUUACAAACGGCACAGAGGAUAUUUAAUUCCAAAACCUUGCUGUCCAAUCGUAUGUACCACUGUAUAAAUAAUUUGAGGAUUCUUAUUUUGCAAAUGUUACAGCUCUCAUGUUGUUGACACCAUGCAGCUUAUUGGAAGGGUACUGCGGCUUCCCUUCACACACAUUCUGGAGACAACAGUAUGAAGAUCUUAUGCAAGUGGGCUGCCAGUUGUCAAUUGGAAUAUGGCUACUGCUUCUCUUCUUGGUCCAUCAGGUGCUGCUGAGUUAUCCUUGAUGUUUUUUCAGAUCUUUCCCUCAUAUGGAAUUUUGUUGGAUCUUUUCAAUUAUUCUUAAAAUACCUUGUUAAUAAUGCAUUUCACCGUAAAACAUAACACAUUAGGAUUAUUUUUUUCAAUGUGUUUAAUUUCUGUGCAGAUUUUUCAUUAGCAUCGAAGACACAGUGAGAUGGUAUCCAAUGAUUUGGAGUUUUCUAGUUGUUCUGUUGUAGUGGUGUAAUUACUUCCUGGACAACUUGAAUGAUAUUUAGGUCUUGUGUGUUGAUAAAUGCUGAUAGUGCUGCUAUAGAAUCACAAAAUAUGACUACUUUAUUGAAUGUGUGUAAGCAGUUGUUUUGCUGACUUAUUGCUAUUCUGACAGCUUCAGCUGCACUUAUGAAAUUGGAGUUGUAUGGAUCUUAAGUUUGAUAGAAAGAGAAAAUGUUGAUUGGCAAGGUGGGACUUAUACAUAACAGAUGUUCUGGUGCUACUGUAUGUAAUUACUUCAUGAUGUUGUACAUUGUAAUAUACUUUAAAUGUUAAUACAAUUUAUCAGAGUUAUCUAGAGCCCAAUGUGCAUAGAUCACUAAUUGCUUACCACAAAUGCCCCUAACUACACUCUCUGACAUAAAGUUAAUCUCCUAGAAAGAGAGCUAA